rnacentral:rRNA from 1 species
AGCGAACGCUGGCGGCAGGCCUAACACAUGCAAGUCGAACGAACUCUUCGGAGUUAGUGGCGGACGGGUGAGUAACACGUGGGAACGUGCCUUUUGGUUCGGAAUAACUCAGGGAAACUUGUGCUAAUACCGAAUGUGCCCUUCGGGGGAAAGAUUUAUCGCCAUUAGAGCGGCCCGCGUCUGAUUAGCUAGUUGGUGAGGUAACGGCUCACCAAGGCGACGAUCAGUAGCUGGUCUGAGAGGAUGACCAGCCACACUGGGACUGAGACACGGCCCAGACUCCUACGGGAGGCAGCAGUGGGGAAUCGUGCGCAAUGGGCGAAAGCCUGACGCAGCCAUGCCGCGUGAAUGAUGAAGGUCUUAGGAUUGUAAAAUUCUUUCACCGGGGACGAUAAUGACGGUACCCGGAGAAGAAGCCCCGGCUAACUUCGU